CCUACGGGAGGCUGCAGUGGGGAAUAUUGGACAAUGGGCGCAAGCCUGAUCCAGCCAUGCCGCGUGAGUGAAGAAGGCCUUAGGGUUGUAAAGCUCUUUUGUGUGGGAAGAUAAUGACUGUACCACAAGAAUAAGCCCCGGCUAACUUCGUGCCAGCAGCCGCGGUAAUACGAAGGGGGCUAGCGUUGCUCGGAAUUACUGGGCGUAAAGCGCACGUAGGCGGGUGAUUAAGUCAGAGGUGAAAGCCUGGAGCUCAACUCCAGAACUGCCUUUGA
rnacentral:rRNA from 1 species